rnacentral:rRNA from 1 species
UGGUGGUGUGAAUUGUCUGCUUAAUUGCGACAACGAACGAGACCUUCGCCAGCUUAUUAGGGAUGUCUUCUUCGGAUCUCAACCCUUCCUUAGCGGGACUUUGUGCGUCACAGCACAAUGAAGCGAAGGCAAUAACA